GGACGCCCUCACUGCUGUAGCUCCUUCAUCCUGUUGAGGGCGCUGCCUGCACGGAACCACUCAAUCUGAGUCUCGUUGAAGGUGUGAUUCAGGAGGAUGGUCUCCUGGGUUCCGUUGGGGUGCUUGAUGACGCACGUCAGGGGCUGCAAGGGGGAGAUGUGGUGUGGGUGUGAAGUGGAGGGCACUCCUAACACCAUCUAGGGACUGUGUAGGCCAGGCUUGAGACUAGGUGACCCCAGCAGGGGACCUGUUGGGCCAAGUGCCAGAGCUGGCUCCUCAGCACUGGGAAGACACUGCUGUACUGGACGUGGAUUCACAGGAGCUGCAGGUAAGGCUGGGUGCAGAAGGGGAAACUAUCCCACCCACCCAAAAGGGCCCUGGCCCCCUGACCUUGCCAGGAGCAAAGUCCUUCAAGCCCUGAAUGGUCAGCUUGUCCACAGGGUGGAUCUUGUUGUAGUCAGAAGGGUCAGCGAAGGUGAGGGGCAGUAGGCCCUGUUUCUUCAGGUUGGUUUCUGGAAGACAUACGUGCACUCAAUAGGAUGAUGCCUCAACCUAGGGACCUUCACCAGCCCAAGGACAUGCUCUGAGGCCAGGCAGGACCCUGGGGAUAUUCGUGGUCAUGGUGCUGGGACCAAAUGCAGUGAUACUAGGGCUCAAGGCCUAGUGACCCCUUUCCCUAGAAGGUGCCCAUGCAGGUUUGCCUUAUGGUGCAGGCUCAUCCAUAAAGAUCCCAGCCCAAGUUGACCACUGGCAGGAUGAGUGACCUACAUACAGCCUUGAGUGAGAGACAGCUGUGGCUGGGCACAGAUUCUAGCUCACCGUGGAUCCUGGCGAAGCUCUUGGUGAUGAUGGCCCGGCCCCCCAGGUGGCGAGGCUCCAGGGCUGCAUGUUCCCGGCUUGAGCCCUCACCAUAGUUUUCAUCUCCAAUCACCACCCACCUGAUGCCAUGUUUCUGUCAAGUAAGCAGGGGUGAGUCAGGAGCCAGAGGGCAGUGGCCUAGUGUCCGGGGUGCUGAGGCCCAGGGGUCAAAAGCCAGUGACACCCUUACUUGCUGCCCUAAAGCAACUGAACUUUAAAUACCGAGGACAGGCAGCCUGGACGUUGACCCUGCCUACCUGUGUGCAGUGGGCAGAGGAGCAGUUUAGAGCUGUGAUGGGUGGGGUCCCAGGGAAGGAGCAGAGCAGUGGACGCAUGGUGCAUCAGGAGACAAAGAGUCUCCCCAGCUCCAGGGGGCCACUCCACUGUACAGUCAAGGACAAGGACUUUGGGGGAGCAAUGUGAUAAUAGGGUGCACCCUCUGGUAACCCCCACAUUGGUACAGAUCAGUCCCAAAGUUUUUGGUUUGUUUUUUGAGGUAGAGUGAGAACUCUAGCCCCAGCUGAUAUGGAACUCUAGUUUCAUGGUGGCCUUGAACUCAAGGUGAUCCUCCUACCUCAGCCUCCCCAGUGUUGGGAUUAAAAGCGUGUGCCACCACGCCCAGCCCAACUAGUCUUUGGCCUUGACUCUCAGGCCCCCUCUGCUCCUUUAGCCUUGUCCUAAACCCCUCUCCCUGGUCCCUGGUUCAGGCCUUCUUAUAAGGCCACAUGGCCUGUGUAGCUCUUUCCUCUGAGCUUUAGUUCCCAACUUACUUUAGGAAGCAUCUCCUCUUCUUUAGUACCUCAUAAAUGCUGGGACCUACCUACUGGGGAUGGGCUGACCCCUCCCCACAAGCCCACCCAGUGCCUGCCCUCCAGGCCACCAGCAUUGCUCCCACUGAUGCUGGCCCACCUUGUAGUAGCGGGCAGUGUCAGGGACAGGGCCAAACUCCUGGGUGACAGCAUUGCGCACAGAGUUGGCCUUGCCAUUUUCAAUGUUGAUGGCACCGAUGAGCAGGUUAUUGGAGAUGUUGUCUAGGUGCCCACGGAACUUGAGCCAGGGUCCAGCAGCAGAAAUGUGGUCAGUGGUACAUUUUCCUUUGACCUUAAUUGAGUGAGCAGAGAGGUGGAUGGUGAGUGCUGGGUAAAGAGAGAAGCCCUCCAGAGGCAGGCAGCAGGCUCUAGUACCUAACACCCAGGAGUGGUGAUGGAAGCAUGCCACGCCUUGACCCGUCUUCAGUUCCAGUGCCUGCCCCACUUUCCCACUCAAAAGCCCCAGGCUGCUGCUUCUCCAGACACCUCACUCCCUGGGGACAGGUCAGUCAAAGGGCUGGCAUGCUAAAUAACAUGUAUUGGCUUGGUCAGUUUCCAUGCUUAGGUCCUCAACUGAGCUACCCAGAGAGGAUGAUAAGCCUGACUCCAUGCCUGGUUACUCCUUAGCCCAUGAAUUAAUAAUGUCUGCCAUGAGUCUGAAGUCCCUGGCCAUAACGCAAGGCUUGCUUCUGCUCAGCUCCCAAAUACAGGCCCAAGUAAUGCCCCAAGUGGGGACAACAGGAAUCGGGCUUGGAGUGUCUGCCGGCAGGUCAGAGUUGUGGCUGCUGCACUGACUCACUUGUGUCCUCUGGCCCCUGUCCACACCAGACAGCACUGGCCAGGUUAGCUCUGCCUGGACAGGGCCAUGAGAAGGGAGCCCUCCCUCUCUUGCAGCUGGCUCCCCUGCCUGUUCUGCCUAAUGCUCAGAGACAAGGUGUCCCACUGACCUUGAUGAGAAUCUGCAGGUCCUCCAGGUCUUUGCCAUCCCACUUGUCAAAUGGUUCCAAGAGCUGCAGGCGCUGGCUGGUGGGACUCACAUCCACCCGCUGCCCGCUGCUGUCCUUGGGGGGCUGCUGAUAGGUGUCCUGCCCUGGGUCGAAGCCCUGCAGAAGGGAAUAGGAGACACAGGUCGCAAACUCCACUCUUGCGCAUGCUCAGGAGGCUAGACAAGGCAGGUGUAGCUGCUAGCCGCACUUAGGUGGCAGCAUUUGCUCACCGAUUUGGGGAGCUCAUCUGCAUCUGGAGCCUCCAGUUUGAAUUUCUUGCCAUCCUUCCCUGUUAGGAAAUCGGUUUCUGGGUUGAAUUUAAGAGUUCCUGCGAUGGCCAGGGCUGUGACAAUCUGAAAAAGGAAUCCAGUUUGCUGGUUAGCAACCAAUGCCAUGCCGAACCACCCCCACAAAGAACAAAACCCAGGCACUGUCCAUGUUCUCCCGAAGGCCCUCUUUUUGAAUGUCAGAGCUACAAGACUAGCUUUGAACUGUUGGGGCUGCAGAGGACUCCUCCCACUGCAGUCAGCCAUCGGUUCUGGCCCUGCUCUGUACAGCAGCACUUCCUGUCCUCUGCAGGUGCCCCACGGAAAUGCUGAGUGACUGACACGGUCCUGCACGGCGGCACUGCAGGGUGGAAAAGCACUGUCAUGUAGCCAGCACAAGCACCUCUGCAGCCCCCACGUAGACCGAAAGGAGACUAGUCGAGAGUCAAUGAUGGCCGAGGCAGAACCCCACUUCAGCUGAUUCGGGGCCCACAGUGGCUUCAAGGCCAAACUUUCACUGAACCCAGAAACUGGAACUGGAUGCCACGAUCAGAGGGAACAGGAUUAGGGAUAUCGGGCCUUGUCAUCUGACCUGUCCUGAGGCCAUGUGGGCAGAUCUCAGGCCUCACCUGAGACUGCACAGAAGACAGCAGAGCCCAGACUGAAGUCUGAGUCUCCCGAACCGUCUGCUCUCCCAAGGCUCCCUCAGGGCCACCAGCUUGCCAGCCAGGACUUAGCCCUACCGGCUGCUUUCUGCCAGCCCAGGCUCCAGCCUGUAGCGCUACUCAAGGUCACUAUAGGUCUCUUUCUCUCCUAGACCAACUGCCAGUCGUGAGUAGCAAGGGCUUCCAACAGAAGAAUCCUUGGGCUUGACUCUUCUCCAUCUUUUUUUAAUCCCCCCGAGGCAGGGUCUCACUCUAGCUCAGGCUGACCUGGAAUUCACUAUGGAGUCUCAGGCUGGCUUCGAACUCAUGGCGAUCCUUCUACCUCUGCCUCCUGAGUGCUGGGAUAAAAGGCAUGCGCCACCACGCCCUGCAAGUCUUCUCCAUCUUAAUACCACCACCCCAGGGCUAAGUGACCAGAGACAGACUGCUCACCUGUCCCACUGCCCAAUACAAGGACCACAGGCAUUGGCCAGGACGAUGCCACCCACGUCCCUCAGGAUCUGUGCCUACAGAGGACAAAGGAAAGAUGGGGAUGUUGGGGGCAGCUGCACGGCCGAUGGGAAGGAGGAAGCACCAGCAUGGAGGAUGCGCUGCCCUAGCCCAGUCGCUGUGGCUUGUCCCACCGUGAAGCACAGGAACAGCACCGAGGCGGGGAGCCAGAGGCAAGGGCAGGACACUCACGUAACCAUCGCGCUCAAUGGUGGCACGGAUCUGCUCAGAACCUGGUGUGAUGGUGAACUGGGACUUGCACUUCAGUCCGUGGGCCAGCGCCUGCUUGGCCACGGCUGCUGACCGCCCCAUGUCUUCAUAGCUCGAAUUGGUGCAGCUGCCGAUCAGACCUGGUACGUUGUGGGUGGUAGGGCCGCGGUCAGGACAGUAUCAGGACCAGCGGUCUCCCUGACCCCAGCUAGUGUGACCUGGUACAAUGAGUCCACAACUGGGUGAGGACAGACUGUUUAACAGACACUCGGAAGCAACCCAAGUAUCCAAUAAUAAAGGACAAGCUACUCGUGACCUA